rnacentral:rRNA from 1 species
UACGAAGGGGGGCUAGCGUUGUUCGGAAUUACUGGGCGUAAAGCGUGCGCAGACGGCUUUCCAAGUCAGUGGUGAAAAGCCCGGAGCUCAACUCCGGAAAUGCCAUUGAAACUGUGAAGCUUGAGAACGAGAGAGGUGAGUGGAAUUCCCAGUGUAGAGGUGAAAUUCGUAGAUAUUGGGAAGAACACCGGUGGCGAAGGCGGCGACCUGGUCCUUGACUGACGCUGAGGCGCGAAAGCUAGGGGAGCAAACAGG